rnacentral:rRNA from 1 species
GACGAAGGGGGCAAGCGUUGUUCGGAAUUACUGGGCGUAAAGGGCGCGUAGGCGGUCUUGUUAGGCAGGCGUGAAAGCCCUGGGCUUAACCUGGGAUGUGCGCUUGAUACUGCGAGGCUUGAGUGUGGGAGAGGUUGGUGGAAUUCCCAGUGUAGAGGUGAAAUUCGUAGAUAUUGGGAAGAACACCGGUGGCGAAGGCGGCCAACUGGACCACAACUGACGCUGAGGCGCGAAAGCGUGGGGAGUAAACAGG